GGCUCCUCUUCCAAGAUGCUGACAAUGUAAUCCUUAUGUACCACCGUUUCUUCUCCUAAUAUACAUACAUAUACACAUGAAAAAUGUAUAACCUAUGGAUAACGAGGAAAACGAAGCUGGACGGACAAAAGGGGCAUAAAUGCAAUACAGAAAUGCGUAGAGAGUGGUGGCUAUUAAUCAUAAUAGAGGGAAGAUAAUAUAGCAAUCAUUUUUAUGAUACUCACUUAUCACAUAUAAAUAUUAUAUGGUAUUAAUUAUUAAUUAUAUAGGUAUGUAACACACAUAGACUUACAAAUUUAUUUUCUAAAAGACGGUACACAAUUUUUUUUUUGUAAAUAUUUUUUGUUUUCAACAGUUAAAACGAAAAUUAAGCAGGACGAACACUAAGAAGUACAGGACUAAGAAUAAGUGCAAUUCGACAGUUGGCGCAAUCGUUAUAACGGGGUUAUAAGAAAAAUCCAAGUUUAAAACAUACAUUUGAAGAAAUAACAGAUUUAAAGUGCAUCUCCACGGGUUUCGCAUCAUAUUAUCCGAGACAUGUGCAGUAAAAUUGAGCAUAAAAAACAUAUUUUAUAAUAAACUAAAAGGCUUCUUCAAGCAAGAAACGAAAGAAGAAAAUUUAUUUAAUAGUAAAGAGAUAACUGACUGAGAUGACCGACCAUAAUACAUAUGUUUGCUCUGUGCUUGGUACCGUUGCAAAUGGUACCCGGAUCUAACCCACCAAACAUACAACAAAACCUCCUUUGGCCGUUAAUGCUCGCUUGGAGACUGCUUGUGCCGGCUCACUGCGCUUCGACCACGAACGUUUUCGUUUGACGUUGCUGAAAGUGAUAUACUUCUCCUCAUCACCAGUCAUCAUUUGCUUCCGAUAUAGUUACGAACCAGCAGCGAUACAUAAAUGCCAAAACUAGAAGAAUUGAGCUUCAAAUUCUAUGCACAUUAAUCAUGGGAACAUCCAACAAAAAAGCGCUGACCGCUAAAAAAAUUCGUUCGUUAGAAUUAAAAGAGGUUAUUCUUGAAACUGUAGCCUAUUUGGAGGCGUAAGCGAAAUUAUUCUACAAAAGUGGUUUUGAUGUAUUAACUUCGUUUCAGUGAACAAUUUACUACCCACAUCAUCAUGAAAGUGCCAGUAAAGGAUUAUCCUACCUAUCAAAGGCUGAAGUGGUUUCAAGUUUGAGAAAAAGUAAAUCAAAAGUGAAAGCAAUUAUAUUGAUAACAGCCCCGAAAUAUAUUUUCAAUACUUUAAAGGAUAUCUAUCCCAAACCCCAUAAUAUGACGGUAUGCAUUUUUUCGCCGAAAAGAAGUACUGAGAUAAGAGUGUGAAGAGAUUUAGCAAUAAUAUUUAUCUAUAUGUAACACCUCAGAUUCAGGUUCAUUCUAUCAACUAAAGUUAAAAAAAAAAAUAUUUUUAAUAUUUUUUGAAUAUUUUUAGAAUUUAUGUACGACUACCCCAGACUCCCUGUCAGCAUAGUCUUAUCUAAACAAAAUCACAUUGUACUCGUACAUACUUAAAUAUUAUUUGCUAAAUUUGUUUAUAUUUAUAUAUUUUAUGAAAACAUGUUUCACAGCUAGAUGUCUCAUAUUUUUAACGGUAAUUAAAUUAAUAAUUCCUAAAAUUGUUUAACAAUGAGAGAUAGAUAUAAAAUGCUUGCUUGUGUAUGUGUGUGUGUGUGGGUGUGUGUGCUUGUGGCAU